AUUAAUUUAUACCUCGCUUUUUUAUACGUCCAUACACGAAGCAAUACAUCCGUAAAAAAAUCCUUUCAAAAAUAUCGAUCGAACGCGUGAUAAUUUAUAUACGUAAAAGUACGAUUAAUAUUUGUAUUCACGCGCGAAUUAAAUGUCACGCGUUCGCCGUUUCGCUUUUGUUUUCGUCUGUUCUCCUAUUUAACCGGCGUACGACGCGAGCGCGGCACAGUCGAACGAAGGCAUCGGCACGAUCCACAUUUAAAUAAACGUAAUUCAUCCCUAUUUCCUUUAUUGAAUAUACUCUCUUCUAUAUUUUUUAACCCGAUCGAAUCAUUUCGCAGAACGAAUUAAUCGCGAAACGAUUUUUAAAAUUUUUAAAAUUAGUCUUUCUUAAAUUCGAUUUUAUUUGUUCCGUUUCCGCUCCUCGGUCCAACCCUCGCCCCCUCUGUCGCUUCGUUUACAUUUAUUAUCGUAAUAUUGGAACAAGGAAACGGGUAUGGGUGAAAAAUUUGCGUGGAAGUGCACACAAGCAAGUUUUACACGGGGUGAGCCGGUUGCGCCAUGCCUCUUCGCCUCCCCUCGACCAGAUUAUGGUCUCGGCGCGAAAUCUGAGACGCGAACCGUCGACCGCAUGGGAUUAUCCUUCCAUAACGUCAGCCGUGGCCGGGGCAUAACACGGCAUUGCCACAUCUUGCGAGAUAAAAUGUAAGAGGCAGACCGAUGUUGUCGGGUGAAACGAGAAUAUCUAUCUGUUCGUUGUCGUUGGCCGACAUGCCUCCACGGAUCGACACCCGGGAAACGCGUAAAACGAUCGCGAUUCGACCCGUGGAGGACGUUUCGACGCGUAAUCCAUUGCCAUUCGAGACGAGGCAAUUUGUUAUCGAGUGGCUAAAUCGAUCCAUGAUCAAAAGAAUCGAGUCAACCGGCCAACACGAUAAUCGUUAUGAUCGGAGGCAAUCUUGCAGAAAAUGAUCAUCGUAACGAGCCGCUUCCUUCGAUCACGGUAGCCACGGUAGUUGUACAAGCGCAUUACCGAUCUCUGACAAACUUAUCCUACCCAUUGAAAAUAAUCACGUCACAACCUGUCAUCGACGUGAAAAUUUUUUCAUUCGUUGCCAUAAUCCCAAACUUUUCUACACACGAUGUUAUAUCCGUUUAAUUAUCGAUUAACGAACAUUUCGCUGCAAUAAAAUUCGCUCAUUUUAAGAAAAAUAAAAAAUUAAAUUCCAUUCAAUAUAUAUAUAUAUAUAUAUUUAAGUACGAUUUGAAGAAUAAAAAAAAAAAAGAAAGAUAUCGAAACUUUCAAAGCAAGAUCUCAAUCGAAUACUGAUCACACCGUAUUACUCUGAAUAAUACAAUUUGAAAAACGGAAAGGACGAAAGUUUGUUGAAAUAUCGAAACGACAUUCGAUUCAAUAAUCAUGAUAACCGCUAUACAUAUAUAUAUAUUGUUGUAUUUCGAAUAUGGAUGGAUGGAGGAAAUCCGAAUGGAACGAUUUCGAUGGAGUUGGACAGAUCGAGGCGUCAGCAUGACGGAGAUGCGACACGAAAGACGCGAUUUUUCUGGGAAAAACGUUUGCGUAACCGAGCCACAGACGCGCGUACACAUAAUCCGUGGAUGUUACAGGCUCUCUUACGUAUCCAACCGGGCGGCGAAACAAAAAUGUCGACGAAAACGACUCGAUCGACUCGAGUAAAUCCACCCUGUCUGGAACGCUGUCACGAAGGGAUGAACGCGAGUAACGGAAGACGAAGAAGAAGAAGAGUUUCGAGGCAACCGUUACUGGAAACGAACGCUGAAUUAUUCAUAGGGAAUCUGUUGCUUUUAUUUCGACCUCCAUCCCCGCACGUUCUUUGUACUUUGAAUUUGUUUAGGAGAGGAAAAAAUCGGAUGGAAAACGACCCGACGAAAAUUGUGCGUGUAAAACGUUGAUUUAAGUCGGGAUUUUGAUCAAGGGGGGGUCAAUCGAAAGAUCGAAUUGAUCGAGAUGAAUGGAAUCGUUGGAAGAAGAAUUGUUCACAACUUCUCGAGAACAACUCGAGACGAAUCCGCUCCUCCAAUCGUGACAAAGUGAAUUUUUUACUCUAGUUAACGUGCUACGUAUCAUGAAAAAUGAAAAAUUUUAAAAAUCUUAAAAAAAAUGUUCGAACACUUUUAGAAGCGUGUAUUAUUGUUCUCUUUAUUGAGCCAUCAAUCGCACAAUUUCAUUCGCUCCAUAUAUUUUCUUCUACGGAAUAUUAAGCGUAUUAUACCGAUUAUUAUAAUCGUCGGAUCCGUCCACUUUUUUCCUGAACACCGGUUCAUUCCACCAAGAGGUUCUAAGUAUGGACGAAACGCGAUCCUCCGGGGUAUAACCGGGCCAACGUGGUGUACGGGGCAGAGAAUGGGAUUUUAAUCAGGACGAUAUACAACAGACGGCCGAGACGAAAGAGAGACUAAACUAUCCGACGUUAUUAAUUCCUCGAGAAGGAUCGAGCCAUUUGGUGAUUGACGUCGCGUGACCACGAGUUACGUAAUUCAGCAUCGAAUUCUCCAGGGUUGCGAGCAGGAUAAUAGGCAUCCGGAAGCCAAGGACAAGAUCGGGUAGAGAAAAAGUCGUCGAGAUCUUUUUUUUUUUUCCCUUCCAAUCUUCUUCUUCCAUCCACUUUUUUCAAAUUUUCCAACAACGCCCCGAUCAUCGCCAUUCUUAACACACAUAUAUAUAAAUCCAUAUAUAUACCUCCUCUCCUAUAAUCAUAUUAACACUUCGAUAUUUCAAUUAUCCACAUCCAAGCCACAAAAUAUCCUCAACAAAUAAUCGAUCCACCAAAUAUCACUAUUUCUUCCACUAUCUGAUUUCACUCACCACUACCCAGAAACAGGAAUACUUUUGAUACUUUUGGCAUGUUCAAAAAAUAUAUAUAUACAUAUAAAUUAUUAAUCGAAUACCUGUUCGGUCGUAAGGUGCAGCUCUUCUAGGCGCUGGCUGCCCCCUAACCGGAUGGAAUUGCUGCUGUUGGUGCAAGGGUGGCGUCUGGGCGGGUUGCAACUGCAGAUGAUACUGCUGGGAGGUGGAAUAAUGGGCGGAUGGGUUGGCGGUGGAUGCCGCCACCGAUUGUUGCUGAUACUGACCUGCCUGCUGAUACUGAUUGAUGUGAUUCGGAUGAUGGAAGUGAUGGGGGUGGGGGUGGGUGUGCGGCUGGCCCGCGCCCGCCCCGUGGGGGUGUGAAUGGGAAUGAGGGUGCGAGUAAGGGUUGCACCAGGUGUAAUAUUGUUGCCACGAAGCGGCGGCAUCCACGUUUGCCAUCCCAUCGCCUUCUUCGCUCCCCAUUCGGACCUAUCGAAUCCUCCUCCCGCUUCUCUUGCCAGUUUGCAACAACCUUCCGGAUUCCCUUUCCCUUUUCCACUUGACGCGAUGUUUUUCUAUUCUUUUUUCUUUUUGAUCUAGUCUCUUGCUUGAUAUUUGCAGCACAGCUUCGUUUCUAUCCGUUUAUAUUAAGUACCGUUCUUUCGUGUCGACUCGAAAGGUUGACGUUAAUCGAAAAAACCACCAACUUCGUCCCCCGAAAUUGGGGGACAGAUUGUUUCGGUUCACAGUUCAAACACCACUUGUUCUGUUACACUUGGAGCAUGGUCGUUAGAGCGGGUUUAACGGGUUGAUUUUUGACUCUGGACUGAAUCGAAAUAUACGUACACUUUGGAUGCUUCUUUGAUUCUCUGCAUAUUGGAUAAAGAGGUUAAUACUAUUUUCUAUUUUCAAAGAGAAGUCUGCCCCGGGGGAAAAAUAAUCCCUUUUAAUAUUAGAUUCGAAUUUUUUUCUAAGUCUGAGAAAGUCGAUUUCUAAGUCUCCGUGCGAUCUUAUAAUCGUGGCAAGUGUUUUUAAUUUUUUAAGAAGAUUAAAUAUAUAUAUAUAUAUAUAUACGGACGAGAGAAUUCUCUAAUUGUUGAAGAUCGAUACUAUUACUCCUGCAUUCCUUUGGCGUGUUUAUACGAAAAAAUAUUUGGAUUCGGGCGGAAGAGAUUGAAAUUGGCGCGCGUUCUCGCGAGAAGAAAAUUUGAAAAAGAAAGAAAAAUGAAACGAAAUGUAAACGGCACCGACUGACUCGAUUACAGGAUAUUACGUUGAUGUUAAUCGAAGGAACAGAAGCAUGGCAUGCGAGAGUCGCCAAGGACCCGACGAGCUAAGCCUUCGAGAAAGGAACAAUACCUCUGGCCAAUGUUAAUACAUCGCGGUACUGCCCACGCCAGUUUCACCAGACUAUAAAUUUUUCAUCCCGUCCUGAUCUCAUCAAAAUUCAACUUGGAUAUUGUUAAAUGUUCGACAUUCGUCGUCGAAGAAGGAAAUGGAAGAAAUUAAUUGGAAAAUUUGUUUCACUUCGACAAAUGGAUCUGUCGGAAGGAAGAAAAUAACAAAUGAUGAACGUUUAGCGCGAUAUUGUCCGCGAAUAGGAGGAGGAAAAUUCAUUAUUAACUCGUUGCGCAAAUUAGGGGAGAGAAUUUCUGCGAUUUUGAAUUUUCUUUUCUUAUUUCUCAAAGAAAAUUAAAAUUAAUUUUUAGAGAAAACAAAAUUCCAUGGAAGAAGAUCAUAUCGAAUAUUUUAGAAGAAGAAUCAUCUCGAACACAGUGAUCCAACACUUUUCUACCCCUCGCUCGUCCGCGUUUUGGAAAAUUUUGAAAUGGAAAUUAUUGAUCACACGACGAACCUCCGCUACGAACCCCAUAUUUUCCACCGUUCACUUCAUUCUCACCCUCCGUGUGUUCACAAUUCGUCACGGUACAUCACGAUAUAGAUAACUAAAAAUAAGAGACAGUCGCGCGAGAGAUCAAAGGUAAAAUCUCGGAGCACGGUAGUCCAAGGUGAGGACAAAACCAGCUGAAGAUCUAAGAAAGCAAAUCGGCUUGUCGUGCACGUAUUAUAUGUACAUAUAUAUCCAUAUGUACAUAUGUAUACACCCACAUGUAUAUAUUAGCAUUUUACAUAGCUACACAUACAAUUAUAGUUUGUAUAUACAUAUACACAUAUGCAUGCUCGUGUACAUAAGCUACACUACUGUCCAUAAGUAUUUGGUCACUUUUCUUUCCUCUUUUUCUCUUUUAAUCUCGUUGAACGAUAUAAAAUAAUACAAUUCAAACGAAGAAGGUCGUAGACGAGGAUUAAAUGACCGAUCGAUCGAAGAAGAAACAGAAAGAAUAUUCGAGAUCGUUUAGAAAAAAAAUUACCGUUCAAUUAUUCGAUAAUCGAAAAUACAAUUCCAAUAUCUUUACAACACGAUAUUUAUGAAAACCAGGCGUUAUCCUACUCGGCGAUGUCUAAAUAAAAUAGGCGAUAUCAAAAUUUUCCUUUCCUUUCUCCAUCCCCCUCCCCCUCCUUUCCUUUUACAAAAUCCAAAUACUCGUGGACGGCACUAUAUACACACGAAUAUACAUAUACAUAUAUAUAUGUAUUGUAUUUAAUAUUAGCCGAACGUCCCCUUUCUUACGUUCCUUAUACGAAUAUACAACCGAGUAUAUACCGAGAACACGGUGGGGUGAAAAUAAAACGGGGGGAAGAAGAGAGGAAAAAAAAAAAAAAAAGAAA